UAAUACGGAGGGUCCAAGCGUUGUCCGGAAUCACUGGGUGUAAAGGGUGCGUAGGCGGAUUUGUAAGUCAGAGGUGAAAGCCCACGGCUUAACCGUGGAACUGCCUUUGAUACUGCAAGUCUUGAGUCCUGGAGGGGCUGGCGGAAUUCGUGGUGUAGCGGUGAAAUGCGUAGAUAUCACGAGGAACACCGGAGGUGUAGACGGCCAGCUGGACAGGUACUGACGCUGAGGCACGAAAGCGUGGGGAGCGAACAGGAUUAGAUACCCUGGUAGUCCACGCCGUAAACGAUGAGUGCUCGAUGGUGCGCCGAUUGGGGCGCACUGUCUAAGCUAACGCGUUAAGCACUCCACCUGGGGAGUACGCUCGCAAGGGUG
rnacentral:rRNA from 1 species